rnacentral:misc_RNA from 1 species
UUGUGGAGGAGGACGCCGAAGGUGGGGCUAAUGACUGGGGUGAAGUCGUAACAAGGUAGCCGUACCGGAAGGUGCGGCUGGAUCACCUCCUAACAGGGAGACAACAAAAUGUUAAAUAUUAAUUUUGUCACCUUAGGUCGAUCGGUAUCUCACAUCCUUAAAUUUAUUGAGGAUUUUAUUUCCUAAGUUUUUUCUAGGUCACACCCAUUACUUUUCCUGGGCCAUUAGCUCAGGUGGUUAGAGCGCACCCCUGAUAAGGGUGAGGUCCCUGGUUCAAGUCCAGGAUGGCCCAUAUCUCUAUGUUGGGGGUAUAGCUCAGUUGGUAGAGCGCCUGCUUUGCAAGCAGGAUGUCAGCGGUUCGAGUCCGCUUACCUCCACUGAUCACCACCUCUUCCAUAAUUUAUAGAAGGGAAAUGUUUUGAGUUGUGAUCAAAUUCUGAACGAAUCUAGCUUCCUAAUCAAAUUUAUUAAGAUGCUGGACUCAUUGAAUUAAUUUCAUUGUUUUCAGAGAACCUUGACAACUGCAUAGAUUAUUUUAAAGACAAUAAGCAUCUUUAAUGAUGCAGAUUUAUUAUUUGUGCGAAUGCAUUAAUAACAAUUCUAUUAAGCUGAUGCUUCAAUUAUUGAAGUUAUUGGUCAAGCUACAA